GAGGGUAUAGCUCAAGCGGUCGAGUGCACGCUUUGCAUGCAUGAGGUCCUGGGUUCAAUCCCUAGUACCUCCU
rfam:Camelus ferus unplaced genomic scaffold scaffold570, whole genome shotgun sequence.